rnacentral:piRNA from 2 species
UGAAAUCAAUUUCAUGGGCUGC